rnacentral:misc_RNA from 1 species
GGAAAAUGAAAAGGCCAGCAAUGGAACAGAUGGUACAAAGAGAGACCGGUCAAUGCCAGAUCUUUGUGUAAUAUGUCUCGAGAGAGACUACAAUGCUGUUUUUGUCCCGUGCGGCCAUAUGUGCUGCUGUGUAGCAUGUUGUUCACAUUUAACAAACUGUCCACUCUGUCGUAGACGAAUUGAGCUGGUAGUUAAGACUUUCCGCCAUUGAUGUGCUGCUUUGAGGACUGAGGAC